ACGGGGGGAGCAAGCGUUGUUCGGAUUUACUGGGCGUAAAGGGCGCGUAGGCGGCCACCGCAAGUCGACUGUGAAAUCUCCGGGCUUAACCCGGAAAGGUCAGCCGAUACUGCGGGGCUAGAGUGCAGAAGGGGCAACUGGAAUUCUCGGUGUAGCGGUGAAAUGCGUAGAUAUCGGGAGGAAUACCAGUGGCGAAGGCGGCCUUCUGGACUGACACUGACGCUGAGGCGCGAAAGCCAGGGGAGCAAACGGGA
rnacentral:rRNA from 1 species